AGAACGAACGCUGGCGGCAGGCUUAACACAUGCAAGUCGAGCGCCCCGCAAGGGGAGCGGCAGACGGGUGAGUAACGCGUGGGAACAUACCCUCCGGUUCGGAAUAGCUCAGGGAAACUUGGAUUAAUACCGGAUACGGCCUAGCGGCGAAAGAUUCAUCACCGGAGGAUUGGCCCGCGUUCGAUUAGCUAGUUGGUGAGGUAACGGCUCACCAAGGCGACGAUCGAUAGCUGGUCUGAGAGGAUGAUCAGCCACAUUGGGACUGAGACACGGCCCAAACUCCUACGGGAGGCAGCAGUGGGGAAUAUUGGACAAUGGGCGCAAGCCUGAUCCAGCCAUGCCGCGUGAGUGAUGACGGCCUUAGGGUUGUAAAGCUCUUUCGCUAGGGACGAUAAUGACGGUACCUAGACAAGAAGCCCCGGCUAACUUCGUGCCAGCAGCCGC
rnacentral:rRNA from 1 species